GGCUAACGCUGGCGGCGUGUCUUAGCCAUGCAAGUCGAGCGGACUUAUGGGGUAACUUAUAAGUCAGCGGCGGACGGCGGAGUAACACGUAGCUAACCUACCCUCUGGACGGGGAUAACCUACCGAAAGGUGGGCUAAUACCCGAUGUAGUCAUCCUGUAUAGGGGUGAUGAAAGGUGGGCUUCUGUUUACAAGCUCAUGCUGGAGGAGGGGGCUGCGGCCUAUCAGGUAGUUGGUAGGGUAAUAGCCUACCAAGCCGAUGACGGGUAGCCGGCCUGAGAGGGUGACCGGCCCGAGGGGCACUGAGAGACGGGCCCUACUCCUACGGGAGGCAGCAGUGGGGGAUUUUGGACAAUGGGCGAAAGCCUGAUCCAGCGACGCCGCGUGGAGGACGAAGCCCUUCGGGGUGUAAACUCCUUUUCUCAGGGAAAAGGAUGAUGGUACCUGAGGAAUAAGCCCCGGCUAACUACGUG
rnacentral:rRNA from 1 species